rnacentral:rRNA from 1 species
GGCGAGUGAAGCGCGCAAAAGCUCAAAUUUGAAAUCUGGUACCUUUGGUGCCCGAGUUGUAAUUUGGAGAGUACCACUUUGGGACUGUACUUUGCCUAUGUUCCUUGGAACAGGACGUCAUGGAGGGUGAGAAUCCCGUGUGGCGAGGGUGUCAGUUCUUUGUAAAGGGGGGCUCGAAGAGUCGAGUUGUUUGGGAAUGCAGCUCUAAGUGGGUGGUAAAUUCCAUCUAAAGCUAAAUACAGGCGAGAGACCGAUAGCGAACAAGUACAGUGAUGGAAAGAUGAAAAGAACUUUGAAAAGAGAGUGAAAAAGUACGUGAAAUUGUUGAAAGGGAAGGGCAUUUGAUCAGACAUGGUGUUUUGCGCCCCUUGCCUCUCGUGGGCUUGGGACUCUCGCAGCUCACUGGGCCAGCAUCGGUUUUGGCGGCCGGAAAAAACCUAGGGAAUGUGGCUCUGCGCCUCGGUGUAGAGUGUUAUAGCCCUGGGGAAUACGGC